rnacentral:rRNA from 1 species
GAUUUCUGGUAUGGCGCACUUGGCCCGUCUCGGUUACGAGUUUGUGUGCCGGUGUGCGCCUGCCAUCUUUUUGGAUUAAUUAUGUUUGCCUUCAUUGGUUAAUGUAAUGAACCAAAUCUUUUACUUUGAAAAAAUUAGAGUGUUUAAAGCAGGCUUGUUGCUAUGAAUACAUUAGCAUGGAAUAAUAAUUUAGGACUUUGGUCUUAUUUUGUUGGUUUCUAGGACUAAAGUAAUGAUUGAUAGAGAUAGUUGGGGGUGCUAGUAUUCAGCGGCCAGAGGUGAAAUUCUUGGAUUCGCUGAAGACUAACUUAUGCGAAAGCAUU